rnacentral:lncRNA from 1 species
GCUCGGACCUAUUGGAAGACAGUUUAUCUUUAAUAGGCUAAAACCCGGUUAAUUCCAAGUAAAUUACCGGCUUUUAAUGAUGGCCACGCAGCAUCAUCGGUUGGUUUUUAAUUGGAAGCCGCCACUCAAACCCGCAUUACUGGAAAUUAUUCGCCGGUUAACCGGAGACGGGGACAAAAUACGGACAAGUUAUAUCCCCCGGCUUCCAUAUCGGCCCUUAAGACCGACCAGGGCCGGCUCCGAGCAGCCUGCAAGGCUUAUGGCCCAAGCGGACGUCGACUUCGAGGGGCGCCAAAACACGUCCACUUUUAGCCUUCAAAUAAAUUUUUAAAUGAAAAAAUAAGAUAAGACUGGAACUGAUGAUCUAUUUCACAAGAG